GAAAAACGCAAGGCUUCUCCUGCGUCAUUACAGCAUUUUUGAGGUAUCUGAACAAAGAACUGCGGCUCACCCGAUGUCCUUCAGAGAUGAACUUCAGGAGGCGUGACAUGGGUAGAAAAAAGCUUCCACAAAAACACAACCUGGAGCCUUCUCAAGCUUGUUCAUUUUUUCUAUUUUUCAAGACGAAACAAACAAGAGAAAUGUCAUCCGUUGUAUAUUUUCACACUAUAUUUCAGCAGAAACAGUGAAGUUUUCUUACGAUUCUUCUCCCUUUUUUCCUUUAUUACAUUUCAGAGCUCCGUGAGAAAAAACAAACAGGUUUCUUUUGAAGCAGAAUUUGAGAAACAGGACAAGUUACACAACACAGGAAAAAAUACAGAUCAUGAAGUCUUCAUUAUUUUCUCCACAGAAACAUCAUAUCCAUCUGGAAUAUAUUUCCGCAUGCUUGCUCCAGACAAAUUGAACUAUUUCAGAUAUUUUAGAGAAUAUGGGACCUGAGCAAAGAGUCGAUGGACUUUGAUGUCAUGUGAUGCGAGCUUUUAUUCUUUUAAAUCCUGUUUAUUACAACUUGGGUCUUAUUUUAGCAUCUUUUAUACGACUUCAAACCUACUUAAGUUCAUGCAUUUAAGCAUUUCCAAUCUCCAGACAUAAAUCAUCUGUGUAUAACUUAUAUCAUAAUAACAGAAAUGAUGCUUAAAUCCACAUAUAUACGAUCCAAAUUGUAAUAAAGCAUCAUUUAACAAGGAAAGUGUGAAGAACCGAAUAUAUAUCUAUGUACAGGAAACACACUGAAACGUCCACUCAGAGCAUGAGACAGUUGAAACAAAGCUUUGCUAAUUUUACAACCAUGAAAAAGUGUUAAAAAGAAAAAACCGUCAGGACGAUGGAGGUGUGAAACUUUUAAUGCAGACACUGAGAGGAAUGGAACCAGUUUUCUUAUUCAAAGGCACUGUGUCUUUCCAGUUCGCUGCUGUCAGACUUCUUCUGUACGUUGGAAAGUUUCCGUCACAAACUACCGGCUACGUCUCUCCACAAUCAAACUAUCCGCUCGACUCUAUGACAAAAGGACACAAUGGAUUCACACGUUCACAGUGUACUACAGCUUGCAGUCUAAAGAAGGAGGAACACUGUACAAACAAGAAAAGAUUUUUUUUUGUUACCUUUCAGAUCCAUAGCAGAGCUCUAUGGCAUGAGAAAAACUUUUUUUAUUUUUUCACAUGAAAACAGACCGUUAGACCUCACAGACAGCUUUACUUCCUGCUUAAAAGAGGCCAGAUUUAUUCAUUUGGAUUUGAUUUAGAAAUAAAGAGAGAGAACGAGUGAGAGGCGAUGCUCGGUAACGGCUUCAUUUACAGACAGCUUUAAAAUAAUCAGCACGUUUUUCCAAAGGAAUCCUCAGGACCUGCGACAGUUUGAGCUUCUUUUAGAAGUUUAGACCAGGGGAGUCAAACAUGUGGUCCACGGGCCAAAAGCGGUCCUCCAGAGGGUCCAAUCCGGCCCUCAAAGUGUAAAAAUUCCAGAGAAGACAUUAACUGCAGAUUGUAAAUUAGUAAAACUAUAAAUUUAAAAUCAUUUCUAGACCAUGACAAGUUGUUUGGGUCAGAAAGUAAAAUACUAGAUUCUUCAUUGUGCUGUUGUUUUGUGUCUCAUUUUUUGUAAUAUUUUGUCGUUUUUGUUUUUUGUCUUUUUCUGACUUUUGUUGUGUUUCCUUUUUGUUUCGCUUGUGUUUUUUGUCAUAUUUUUUGGUCUCGUUUGUGAAAUUUGUCCGUUUUUUUAGAUGCUUUGUAACAUUUUUGUCUAUUUUUUUGUCUCUUGUGUUUUGUUUCGUGUCGUUUGUCUCAUGUUUUG
ensembl:lncRNA